CUAAGAAUAUUCCGCAAUGGACGGAAGUCUGACGGAGCGACGCCGCGUGGAUGACGAAGGCCGAAAGGUUGUAAAGUUCUUUUGCUGGGGAAAGAACAACCGCAGGAGGGAAUGCCUGUGGGAUGACAAGAACCGGCGAAUAAGCCCCGGCCAACUACGCGCCAGCAGCCGCGGUAACACGUAGGGGGCGAGCGUUGUUCGGAAUUACUGGGCGUAAAGGGCAUGUAGGCGGCUUGGAAAGCCUGGCGUGAAAGUCUGCAGCUUAACUGCAGGGGUGCGCUGGGAACUGCUGAGCUUGAGUGACGGAGAGGGAGCUGGAAUUCCUGGUGUAGGGGUGAAAUCUGUAGAUAUCAGGAAGAACACCGAUGGCGAAGGCAAGCUCCUGGCCGAUGACUGACGCUGAGGUGCGAAAGUGUGGGGGAUCAAACAGGAUUAGAUACCCUGGUAGUCCACACAGUCAACGAUGUGCACUAGGUGCUGGGGCGGUAGCUUCGGUGCCGGAGCGAACGUGGUGAAGUGCACCGCCUGGGGAGUAUGCUCGCAAGGGUGAAACUC
rnacentral:rRNA from 1 species